rnacentral:rRNA from 1 species
AUUGAACGCUGGCGGCAGGCCUAACACAUGCAAGUCGAACGAGUGGCGGACGGGUGAGUAAUGUCUGGGAAACUGCCUGAUGGAGGGGGAUAACUACUGGAAACGGUAGCUAAUACCGCAUACCAUCGGAUGUGCCCAGAUGGGAUUAGCUAGUAGGUGGGGUAAAGGCUCACCUAGGCGACGAUCCCUAGCUGGUCUGAGAGGAUGACCAGCACAACUGGAACUAAGACACGGUCCAGACUCCUACGGGAGGCAGCGGAGGGGAUUAUUGGACAUUGGGCGCAAGCCUGAUGCAGACAUGCCGGGUAGAUGAGGAGGGCCUUCGAGUGGUAAGGUACGUUCUGCAGGGAGGCGUUACCCACCGAAGAAGCACCGGCUAACUCCGUGCCAGCAGCCGCGGUAAUAC